AGCGGCGGACGGGUGAGUAAUGCUUGGGAACAUGCCUUGAGGUGGGGGACAACAGUUGGAAACGACUGCUAAUACCGCAUAAUGUCUACGGACCAAAGGGGGCUUCGGCUCUCGCCUUUAGAUUGGCCCAAGUGGGAUUAGCUAGUUGGUGAGGUAAUGGCUCACCAAGGCGACGAUCCCUAGCUGGUUUGAGAGGAUGAUCAGCCACACUGGGACUGAGACACGGCCCAGACUCCUACGGGAGGCAGCAGUGGGGAAUAUUGCACAAUGGGCGCAAGCCUGAUGCAGCCAUGCCGCGUGUGUGAAGAAGGCCUUCGGGUUGUAAAGCACUUUCAGUCAGGAGGAAAGGUUAACGGUUAAUACCCGUUAUGUGUGACGUUACUGACAGAAGAAGCACCGGCUAACUCCGUGCCAGCAGCCGCGGUAAUACGGAGGGUGCGAGCGUUAAUCGGAAUUACUGGGCGUAAAGCGUACGCAGGCGGUUUGUUAAGCGAGAUGUGAAAGCCCCGGGCUCAACCUGGGAACUGCAUUUCGAACUGGCAAACUAGAGUGUGAUAGAGGGUGGUAGAAUUUCAGGUGUAGCGGUGAAAUGCGUAGAGAUCUGAAGGAAUACCGAUGGCGAAGGCAGCCACCUGGGUCAACACUGACGCUCAUGUACGAAAGCGUGGGGAGCAAACGGGAUUAGAUACCCCGGUAGUCCACGCCGUAAACGAUGUCUACUAGAAGCUCGGAGCCUCGGUUCUGUUUUUCAAAGCUAACGCAUUAAGUAGACCGCCUGGGGAGUACGGCCGCAAGGUUAAAACUCAAAUGAAUUGACGGGGGCCCGCACAAGCGGUGGAGCAUGUGGUUUAAUUCGAUGCAACGCGAAGAA
rnacentral:rRNA from 1 species